UACGUAGGGGGGCUAGCGUUGUCCGGAUUUAUUGGGCGUAAAGAGCGUGUAGGCGGCCAGGUAGGUCUGCUGUGAAAACUCGAGGCUCAACCUCGAGACGUCGGCGGAAAACCAUCUGGCUAGAGUCCGGAAGAGGAGAGUGGAAUUCCUGGUGUAGCGGUGAAAUGCGCAGAUAUCAGGAGGAACACCGGUGGCGAAGGCGGAUCUCUGGGCCGAUACUGACGCUGAGGAGCGAAAGCGUGGGGAGCGAACAGG
rnacentral:rRNA from 1 species